AUUCCAGCUCCAAUAGCGUAUAUUAAAGUUGUUGCAGUUAAAAAGCUCGUAGUUGGAUCUGUGGCGUGUGGCGUGUUCCGGGCACUUGUUGUCCGAGCAGCAUGCUGCUGCCAUCCUUGGGGGGAACCUGUGUGGCAUUAGGUUGUCGUGCAGGGGAUGCCCAUCCUUUACUGUGAAAAAAUUAGAGUGUUCAAAGCAGGCUUAUGCCGUUGAAUAUAUUAGCAUGGAAUAAUGAGAUAGGACUUUUUCGCUAUUUUGUUGGUUUGCGCGAAGAGGUAAUGAUUAAUAGGGACAGUUGGGGGUAUUCGUAUUCCAUUGUCAGAGGUGAAAUUCUUGGAUUUUUGGAAGACGAACUACUGCGAAAGCAUUUACCAAGGAUGUUUUC
rnacentral:rRNA from 1 species